rnacentral:piRNA from 1 species
UGAAAACGAAUUUUUAAUUAGGGGCUCC